CCCGGAUAAAACCUUGGUUGCAACUGGACAAGUUGGAAAGGAUCCUUAUAUUUGCAUUUGGGAUUCUUAUAAUGUACAGACUGUUUCCAUUCUUAAAGAUGUACAUACACAUGGAAUUGCUUGUUUGGCUUUUGAUUCGGAUGGACAGCGUUUGGCCUCUGUGGGAUUGGAUGCCAAAAACACAGUCUGCAUUUGGGACUGGAAGAAGGGAAAACUACUGGCAACAGCAACUGGCCAUUCAGAUAGGAUUUUUGAUAUUUCCUGGGAUCCAUAUCAGCCGAACAGAGUGGUUAGUUGCGGAGUAAAACAUAUUAAGUUUUGGACACUAUGUGGAAAUGCAUUGACUGCUAAAAGAGGAAUAUUUGGCAAAACAGGAGAUCUACAGACAAUCCUUUGCCUUGCGUGUGCCAAAGAAGACGUUACCUACUCUGGUGCUUUAAAUGGAGAUAUCUAUGUCUGGAAAGGGCUAAAUUUAGUACGCACGA